rnacentral:rRNA from 1 species
AACGAACGCUGGCGGCAUGCCUAACACAUGCAAGUCGAACGAGACCUUCGGGUCUAGUGGCGCACGGGUGCGUAACGCGUGGGAAUCUGCCCUUAGGUACGGAAUAACUCAGGGAAACUUGAGCUAAUACCGUAUAAUGACUUCGGUCCAAAGAUUUAUCGCCUAAGGAUGAGCCCGCGUCGGAUUAGCUAGUUGGUGAGGUAAAAGCUCACCAAGGCGACGAUCCGUAGCNGGUCUGAGAGGAUGAUCAGCCACACUGGGACUGAGACACGGCCCAGACUCCUACGGGAGGCAGCAGUGGGGAAUAUUGGACAAUGGGCGAAAGCCUGAUCCAGCAAUGCCGCGUGAGUGAUGAAGGCCUUAGGGUUGUAAAGCUCUUUUACCCGGGAUGAUAAUGACAGUACCGGGAGAAUAAGCCCCGGCUAACUCCGUGCCAGCCGCCGCUGUAAG